rnacentral:lncRNA from 1 species
CGUUCCCCCAUUUCUCACUUUCCCAACCUCGCCUGAAAGAGAGAGAGAACUCACAAAUCUCCAUCGCAAAUCUCCACUCCAUCUCCAUCUCCAUCUCCAUCUCACUCGUUGCUCAAUCACAAAACCUCAGAACCCUCAGAAUCACAAAACCUAACUCUCAAAAUCACAAAAUCCCCAAUUGGUUCUCACCCAAAACCCUCAGAAUCACAAAACCUAACUCUCAAAAUCACAAUCGGUUCUCACCAAAAACCCUCAGAAUCAGUUCUCACUCAAUCAUGCACUCACUCAAUCACAAUCGGAACUCAAUCGGCGCAAUCGGAACUCACUCACUCAAUCAUAACUGAAAUGGUGCUCAAAAGGUGCUCACUCACUCGUUGUUCUCAAUCCUUCUCAUUAUUUUAGCAUCUGAUUAUUUUAGCAUCGAUUUGGACUGGGAAUUUGGGGUUUCAUUUGAUGUUUGGUGGGGCUGGCUGUUGUGUUUCUUAGUUUUUUUUUUUUUGUUAAUUUGGGGUGUCAUUCAUAUCAAAUAGAAAUUAUAAAGAAAUGUAAAUUCAAUGCAAUCUUCUAGAUAAUUUUUGUUUUUAUUUUUUAAAGAAUUCUUAGUUUUUUUUGUUGAUUUCAAUGAUUAUUUUUGUUAAUAUGUUGAUUAUUUUUGUUUUUUGAGUGAUUUUUCAUGCCAUUGAAAAUGGAAUGCUCUUAAUCUGGUUCUUACGACAGUAGAGGGGAUGAAGUUUGAUUUUUUUUUUUGUGAUUUGUCUUUACCAAGAGUAGAGUCCAGCUUAUGAGAUUCUUGGGUCUGAAAUUGUGUGAGAAAAUAAACAUGACAUGAUGAAAAGUAUAACCUGUGGUUUCUGUUCUGUUAUCCAACCUUUUGGGAAGGAGUUAUUAUUAGUUUUAUGUGAGAGUUUAGCAUUGAAAAAGUAAAUUGGACUCUGCAGCAAGCUAACUAACUACAACUUUGGUUUUUGGUAAAAGUCAUGUGUUGUAAGGUUCAUAUUCAUGUUUAACUUUAUACUUUAACUUAGUGUAUGAUAUGUUUAUAAUUUGCUGCUAUGUUUCGUGUAUUCUAAAUUUGUAACUAAGGGUUUGGGAUCUCAAACUUUGCUGCUAUAAUGACUUAUUAGUUAGGGUCAAAUCUUAAGUUUAUUGGUUCUGUUAUGGACAUGAAAACACUAACUUAGUGUAUGAUAUUAGUCUUUGAAUGAUAUUAACUUAGUGUAUGAUAUUAACUUUACACUUUAACUUAGUGUAUGAUAUGUUUAUACUUUAUGCUUAAUUAUCUUUGAAUUCUAUUAGUCUUUUAAUGUUUAGAAACUCAGAGAGUUAUUGUUCUAGUAAAAAAUAAAGUCAAGAACUACUUUGAAUAACAACUUAAUUUAUUCGUGAGCACUAGGUUAGGAGGCAUGUCACAUUCAGAUGACACUAGGUUAGGUUCGCAAGUGAGUGUGUGUGUGUGGCUGCUAUCUAAUGCUAUUGUUUACUUUAUUUGAGGUGUUAAUUGAUUUGGUUGCAAUUUCAGAGCUAUAAAAGGAGAUGCUACUCAUCAGAAAAGGGCUUCACAUGGUUUUUGUUUUAGUUUUACUAUUCAACACUAGUUUUUCAGUUGUAUUUUAUUAUUUCUUUUGAAACUUUUGGCUACUAGAGAGAUAAGAAUUCUAUUCUAAAGCAUGUUUUCUUUGGAAUCGAAAGCUUAGUUUUCUUUAUCAUACCCUUAUUUUCAAUGAAAGUCACCGUUCCUUUAAAUUUUCAUUCCCAUAAUUUUAUCCCAAUUCCCUUUAUUUGAAAUGCUGCUACCUAUUAUUUUUAUUGAUUCCAAUUGAGUUGCUGUUUUGCACAUCUGUUCUGAUAUGUGUUUCAAUUCUAUAAGUUUUCUUGUUACUGCACUUAUUUAUUAUAAUUCAUUCAACUUCAUAUUGCUUGCUAUUCUAAUUGAGUUUCUUUUCCGGCUGCUAUUACUACACAUAUAUUCCAAAUCCAUUUGGCUGCCGUAUUCAAUUGUUGCUGCCGUUUUAUUGUUUUGUCCCGUAUUCCAUACCUAUAAUCAGACCAUGUUGCAUGUGGCUCUUCUAUUUCGAUACCAAUCUCUUUGAAUUGCUAGUUUAAUUUGCUUUAAUUAAAGUUCAUGUUGUUGCUUCUGUUAGGCGCUGCUGCUACCAAUUCAAUCAAUUUUGAUUGAAUUGCUUUGGUACGCUGUACUACUUUCUUUUAAUUUGCUUUAAUUAAAGUUCAUGUUGUUGCUUCUGUUAGGUGCUGCUGCUACCAAUUCAAUCAACUUUGAUUGAAUUGCUUUGGUACACUGUACUACUUCACGCUGUAGUGGUCAUUAUCGCAGCUGCUCUUUUAUUUAUUUUUUAAGUUGCUAUCUGAUAACAUGUUCCGUUCUUUUGUUAUUUAUUAGCUUUCUAUUUAGUAUGAACUCAGUAGAAGUAAAUUUAGUGUUUGAUUUAAUUAUGUAUGAGUAGUCUAACUUUAGCUUUCUUUAUUUUGUCUUUUGUUUCAUUAGCUUCUACGAUGGAAUUGUUAGACAACUUAUGUUUGGUGGCUUUGAUGAACUAUGCGUUUGGACUUUAUCUCAAUGCACAACUUAUGUUAAACAGAUUUACUUUGUACUUGCAUAAUCUUAAUGAAGAGUUUGUUUAUCGGCAAGGUUAUUUGCACCACAGUAUAUUAAGUGCAUUUUUUGAAUGAUCUCAGGCUUUCCUGAAUUGUUAUCUGUCACCACAAUUAUGACGAGCUAUAUUUUGAAACUUAUGCUCCAAAGAUUUGUUAGAGAAAUCACGAAGGAUUUCAAAACAGAUCUCCGAUUUUAGAGUAGCAUUGUUUCUGCUCUUCAAGAAGCCAGUGUAGCUUAUCUUGUUGGUUUUUGUUAAGAUGAUAAUAUAUGUUGUAUUCAUGUGAACUGCUAAGAUAUUUUUCAGUUAUUACUGUGCCUAAGGUUAUCAGUUAUGCAGGUUAAGCUAUUAGUCUAUUGUGACAAUGCUAUUAGUCUAUUAUUGUAUACUAGGAACUAAGCCUUUUGAUUGAUUAUAUAUCCAAUUGAACAAGCAAUUAUUAUAUGUGCUUACUUAUAGGUAAUUAUUAUUUGUCUAUUACAGGCCGAUAUAUGAUGUUUCUAGUGAUCUUAGUAUCAAAAUAGGAGUUUCAUGCUUUGCACUUCACAAGGUAACAAGAAAAGCUUCCUUUUUUUUUAUCUGUUAUUGCAUAUUCAGUAGUGGUCUUUGAAAAAUAAAACUCACAAUUUAUUAUUGAUUAUUGCAGUUAUUUAAAUUGAAUUUUCCAUGUCUAGCAUAUGCAAUCAUUCAGCUAGGUUUGUGUAUUACAAGCCGAUAUCUGAUGUCUCUAGUGAUCUUAGCAUCGAAAUAGGAGCUUCUUGCUUUGCACUUCACAAGGUAAAAAGAGAAGCUUCCUUUCUUAUAUGUUAUUGCAUAUUCAAAUUUUAGCAGUGUUCUUUGUAAAUUUUACAAGUAGUUAUUAUAUGUUCUUGCUUGUAGGAAAUGAGAGAUAGACGAAAAUAUAGUAGGGGUGAUAUGUAUGAUGCUACUAGAAAUCAUUAUUUUAGUUUUAAAGAAUAAUAGCAAUGCUUGCUAGGAAUAAACACAAACAGUCCAUGAACUAUCAUGGAAAUGGAUUUGUCAUGAAUCAUAUUGUUAUUGGAUUCUUAUUCUUAAUUUUCACAAACUGCGCUAUUGAAAUUAUAUUGUCAUUGGA